rnacentral:rRNA from 1 species
GAUCGUACUCCGAAUGCAUCUCAGAUUAUUUUAUUGAUCAUGGCUCAGAAUAAACGUUGGCGGCGCGCCUAACACAUGCAAGUCGAGCGAGAAAGGUCUUCGGACUGAGUACAGCGGCAAACGGGUGAGUAACGCGUAGGAAUUUACCUUUCAGUGAGGAAUACCCUCGAGAAAUCGAGGUUAAUACUGCAUACGUCUCGCAAGAGAGAAAGAUGGCCUCUUUGCUGUCGCUGAAAGAUGAGCCUGCGUACUAUUAGCUAGUUGGUGGGGUAAAGGCCUACCAAGGCGGUGAUGGUUAGCCGGCCUGAGAGGGUGUACGGCCACACUGGAACUUAGACACGGUCCAGACUCCUACGGGAGGCAGCAGUGAGGAACAUUGCGCAAUGGGCGAAAGCCUGACGCAGCGACGCCGCGUGGAGGAUGAAGGUCUACGGAUUGUAAACUNCUGGUAAGACGGGAAAGA